rnacentral:rRNA from 1 species
GGCAUAUCAAUAAGCGGAGGAAAAAGAAACCAACAGGGAUUGCCCCAGUAACGGCGAGUGAAGCGGCAACAGCUCAAAUUUGAAAUCUGGCCCCAGGCCCGAGUUGUAAUUUGCAGAGGAUGCUUUUGGCGCGGUGCCUUCCGAGUUCCCUGGAACGGGACGCCAUAGAGGGUGAGAGCCCCGUACGGUUGGACACCAAGCCUUUGUAAAGCUCCUUCGACGAGUCGAGUAGUUUGGGAAUGCUGCUCUAAAUGGGAGGUACAUUUCUUCUAAAGCUAAAUAUUGGCCAGAGACCGAUAGCGCACAAGUAGAGUGAUCGAAAGAUGAAAAGCACUUUGAAAAGAGGGUUAAACAGCACGUGAAAUUGUUAAAAGGGAAGCGCUUGUGACCAGACUUGCGUCCGGUGAAUCACCCAGCUCUCGCGGCUGGGGCACUUCGCCGGCACAGGCCAGCAUCAGCUUGCCGUCGGGGACAAAAGCUUCAGGAACGUAGCUCCUCUCGGGGAGUGUUAUAGCCUGUUGUAUAAUACCCUUCGGCGGGCUGAGGUACGCGCUCCGCAAGGAUGCUGGCGUAAUGGUCAUCAGCGACCCGUCUUGAAACACGGACCAAGGAGUCAACCUUAUGUGCGAGUGUUUGGGUGUUAAACCCCUACGCGUAAUGAAAGUGAACGCAGGUGAGAGCUUCGGCGCAUCAUCGACCGAUCCUGAUGUUCUCGGAUGGAUUUGAGUAAGAGCAUAUAGGGUUGGACCCGAAAGAAGGUGAACUAUGCGUGUGUAGGGUGAAGCCAGAGGAAACUCUGGUGGAGGCUCGCAGCGGUUCUGACGUGCAAAUCGAUCGUCAAACAUGCGCAUGGGGGCGAAAGACUAAUCGAACCUUCUAGUAGCUGGUUUCCGCCGAAGUU